rnacentral:rRNA from 1 species
CAGCAGCCGCGGGAAUACGGAGGGUGCAAGCGUUAAUCGGAAUUACUGGGCGUAAAGCGUGCGUAGGCGGUUCGUUAAGUCUGUUGUGAAAGCCCCGGGCUCAACCUGGGAAUGGCAAUGGAUACUGGCGAGCUAGAGUGUGUCAGAGGAUAGUGGAAUUCCCGGUGUAGCGGUGAAAUGCGUAGAGAUCGGGAGGAACAUCAGUGGCGAAGGCGGCCAUCUGGGACAACACUGACGCUGAGGCACGAAAGCGUGGGGAGCAAACAGGAUUAGAUACCCCUGUAGUCCCUGUCUCUUAUAC